GAUGUCUGAUUAGCUAGUUGGUGAGGUAAAGGCUUACCAAGGCGUCGAUCAGUAGCUGGUCUGAGAGGACGACCAGCCACACUGGGACUGAGACACGGCCCAGACUCCUACGGGAGGCAGCAGUGGGGAAUUUUGGACAAUGGGGGAAACCCUGAUCCAGCCAUGCCGCGUGAGUGAAGAAGGCCUUCGGGUUGUAAAGCUCUUUCAGCCGGAACGAAACGGUCACGGCUAAUACCUGUGAAUACUGACGGUACCGGAAGAAGAAGCACCGGCUAACUACGUGCCAGCAGCCGCGGUAAUACGUAGGGUGCGAGCGUUAAUCGGAAUUACUGGGCGUAAAGCGUGCGCAGGCGGUUUUGUAAGUCAGAUG
rnacentral:rRNA from 1 species